UCGAGGAUCUUUGGCAAUGGGCGCAAGCCUGACCAAGCGACGCCGCGUGGACGAUGAAGGCCUUCGGGUUGUAAAGUCCUGUCGAGGGGGAUCAAGGGGCAACCUUGAGUGAUCCCUGGAGGAAGCUCGGGCUAAGUUCGUGCCAGCAGCCGCGGUAAGACGAACCGAGCGAACGUUGUUCGGAAUCACUGGGCUUAAAGGGCGCGUAGGCGGCUUACCAAGUCAGGGGUGAAAUUUUGCGGCUUAACCGUAACAGUGCCUUUGAUACUGGUAGGCUAGAGGGAGACAGGGGUCUGCGGAACUUCUGGUGGAGCGGUGAAAUGCGUUGAUAUCAGAAGGAACGCCGGUGGCGAAAGCGGCGGACUGGAUCUCUUCUGACGCUGAGGCGCGAAAGCUAGGGGAGCAAACGG
rnacentral:rRNA from 1 species